AUGGCCUUCACCAGAAUAGAUCUGGAGGGAGGCGGCACCGGCCAUAGAGCGGAGAGAGGAGGGAGAUCGCCUUGUUGCCUGCGCCGCGGACAGGAGGAGGCUGGAAGACAUGAUAAGUCUGCCCUUCGCGAGAGCAUAACUGCAAAACUACAUCAGAAGGCAUCUGAGAUCAGCAGCACCCCCCAUCGUCAUUGCCUUUGUUUUGGCCAGAGAGCUGGUUGUGGCCAUGGCUUUGGCCAUAUUCAAUGGGUAUGCUUCUCAAUCUGUGCAAUGUUUCCCAAGGAUCACAAAUUUGGGAGGGAUUUUCUAGCUGAUAUUUGGAUUGCACAGGGAUAUGUGGAGGGGCCCCAAGAAGCAUCAAUGUGCUUUGAUGCCCUUGCAAAUCGUUCAUUCUUUCAGAGAGCAUCGCCACAUAUUGAUGAGCAUGUAAUUCAUGAUCUGAUGCAUGAUAUGGCACAACUAGUCUCAACUGAUGAGUAUGUAAUUCAUGAUCUGAUGCAUGAUACGGCACAACUAGUCUCAACUGAUGAGUGCUUCAUUAUAAAGCAUGCGAGUGACCUUGAUAAUGUUCCUUCAAAUGUCCGCCAUCUGUCCAUAUUCACGAAAGGAGAAGCUCAGUGUUCUGAAUUGAAGAGCAUAUGCAACAAGAAAAAGUUGAGGUCCCUGGUAUGUGAUGAAUCAUAUAGCAGUGCAGAAGAUUUUGAGCCCGUGGUAAACUGUUGGUUCAAGGAACUGCUGAAAAUCCGUGUACUGAGUAUAAAACUUUCCGGCGCGGUACAGCUACCAGAGAGCAUGGGCAACUCAAAGCAUCUGUGUUACCUUCGUUUUCUUGGAAGUCCAACUUCCUGCACAUUUCCUUCGUCAGUUUGUCAUUUGCAUCGUCUCAAAAAGGUAGAGUGUGGCAGUUGCUUGAUUGAAAGGUUUCCCCCAGACUUCAGUGAUGCCCUCAGUUUACAGAAAAUCAAUUCAAAGGGUUUUGCUUAUAACAAGGACCACUCUGGGAAACUCUGCCUAAUUUGGUCCGGUUCGCAAAGUCCUGAGACGGGUUACGGAGGUGAAUCUUGUCCUAGCUGGCUCCAGCCCAACCUGCUGCCAAUGUUACGUUCCCUUGAAUUUCUUAAGUGUGACAACUUGAAGAGCAUACCAUUCUUUGCCCCGUUGGAGGGAUCAGUUGAUAAUACAACACGUUCAGACAACCUUAAUCGUCUUGAAGAGUUAAUCAUAAAAGCUUGUGGUCAAAUCAAUUGGCGAGGCUUGGUGGUCCUACCUACUUCUCUUAGAAGGCUAACCCUUGAAAGAUCAGGCAAUUUCAUGGAUCACUUUGUGAGCUGCUUCCUUGACCUCACCUCCCUCACUCAUUUGAGCAUAAUUGGCUGCGAAUCGUUGACACCUAUUCCCCUGCAUUUGUGGAGAAGCAAUCUUCCAUCCCUGGAGGAACUACAUAUUGAUUCUUGCGACAAUCUUACAUCAAUCGUCUCUGAAGCAAGUAGCAACAGCGAUGUUAAAGGAUUCUCAUCCCUUGCCAAGAUACGUAUUGAGAGAAAGAAUCUCAUCGCGAGGGCGACGGAGGGCGCGGCGGAGGGCGCGGCGACGACGAGGCUACCAGAGGGCACCGCGGAGGGCGCGGCGACGACGAGGCUACCAGAGGCGGCCGGAUCGCCGCCGUUGCUCCUUCACCCUUCCUCUGAUGGAUGCGUUCCGGCGCCUGUGAUCCAACCAGCCUCUCCUAGUAUCUUGGCGGCGGCGCCGUCGGGAGGAACGGAGGAGAAGGGAGGGUCGAGUGGCGCUCGCGGCGAUCUGCAGCCGGGUGGGAUCGGACGAGAAGAGAGGAGUUUGAUUCAAUGGCGGACGAAUUUUUCUGAAGGGAUCAACUCCGCCGUCUGGAUCGAAGGGCGACUUCGUUUCUCUCCACGUUCGAGAUGGAUGGUUCUCCUAGAUUUGGACAAUGACGUCCUCGCUGGCGACUAUCUUCCCGAUGGCGACAAGAUUGAGGUUGGUUCUAGAUUCAUUCUUGAUUUAUAUGAUGUAGUUGUUUGUGAGUAUAUGCAGGUGGAUGUUCAACUGAGAUCACCGGAGGUGAUCGAUCUUUCGGAGCCUCUGGUUCAUGCGAGACCGGGAGGGAGGUUUUGGGCGCUUAUGGACAGUGACGACGAGGACCAGGUCGAGGGCGAAACACCUACGAAGGUAGCUGCCGGGGUGACCUUCGCCUCGCCGAGGGCUCGGUCUUCACCGGAGUCUGAUAUCAAGACCAAUCGGCGCAUCUCUCCAGUUCAAAACUCGAAGCCGGGCAUGAAGCCGUGGAGCGGUCCGAUUCCAAAAAUUCUGAGAAAAACGGUAACGUUGUCUGAUUUCUUGCCGGAUAACUGGACUCUUGUGACUCGGAAGAAGAAGAAGGGUCGGCGGCCGCCGGCGGCACUGAGGCCGGAGCCGGCGAGCGAUCGUUCGUCCGUGAUUAGGGCGGAUCGGAUCAGGCGUUUGAAUUCUUUGCUGGGUUCUGAUGGGCUCGGAGUGGGCCACGGCACGGGCCUUUCUUCAACCGGAAUGCCUGGUGCGAUUGAUUUGGCUAAGUGUGGGCCGGGAUUAGCGGGGCUGGAGGCCCAGGCAAAACCGGUUUCUGGCGAGGGGACUGUCGAUGCCUACGUGCAUGAGAUUGCGUCGGAUCGUGAGCCAUCACAUGCACGAUCGUCUCCCUGUCGAGGCGUUCUUCUCGCUAGGGUUCGCCGCCGUGGUCGGGUGGGAUUUCCAUCAUCUGUUCGCGGUCGUGUCAGGCGAGACUCAGGGUCCUCUGAUCUUGCGAAGUCAACUGCCGACGUCAUGCCGCCCAAGGCCCCGCCGCCGGCCAAGGGACCGCCUCCGGCGAAGCCGCCUGCGAGGGCUGCGCCGGGGGGUCCGGCUGCGACUGUGCCUGCCUCGGCUGCGGCUUCGACACCGGCGCCGGCUGCGCCGGCUGUAGCCAGGGCUGCGGCGCCGCCACAGCAUGGGGCCACACAGCCGCCGCCGCAACGACCUUGGCCUAGGCAAAUGGCUGCCGGCCGGGGAGGUGCUGCCACUGGUGUAGCCGGCCGGGGAGGUGCUGCCAAUGGUGUAGCCGGCCGUGGAUCGGGUGAGGUUGUUUCCCCUCCUUCAUCGCCGAUACCGCGGCUGGACAUGACGACUCUUUUGGACGACUCGGCGGAGCUGGCCGGGAGUACGGUCAGGUCCUUCUCUGCUUUGCCGGUGAUCGGUUCGUCGGGACUCAGGGCCAGCGCAGUAGUAACGACCACUCCGGAGGCUCGGCGGGCCUCGGAUGGGUCUAGCGGGCAGGAGGCCCGCGCACCGCGCUCUCCUUCCUUGCCGGCAUCAGAGGCGGCUACUGAUCUUCUGGGAGGGUCGGCUGUUGGUCGCAGACCGGUGUCUUCACAGGCAAGUCUGGCCUCCCUGGCUAGGGAGGCGUCCUCACCUCUUCACGCCACCGUUAGUGCGCCAGGGCAGGGGGUAAUCGGCUCACCGGCCCCCACUGUGUUAGGUGGGCUGGGUGGAGCCACUGCAGCUACUGCCUCCUCCUCGGUGCGCGGCGUGUGGGCUGCCCCGGAGCCAGCUGCUGAUUGCUGA
rnacentral:rRNA from 1 species